GAUGAACGCUGACAGAAUGCUUAACACAUGCAAGUCUUUGGCGAAGCUGUGCUUGCACAGCCUAGCCAAGGCGGACGGGUGAGUAACGCGUAAGGAACUUGCCCUGCAGUCAGGGAUAACAGACGGAAACGACUGAUAAGACCUGGUAAAGUCAGGCGGACUCAUGUCCAGCCUGAUGAAAAGAGAUGCUGCAGGAGAGCCUUGCGUCCUAUUAGCUUGUUGGUGGGGUAACGGCCCACCAAGGCGGUGAUAGGUAGCCGGCCUGAGAGGGUGGACGGCCACAAGGGGACUGAGAUGCGGCCCUUACUACUACGGGAGGCAGCAGUGGAGAAUAUUGGACAAUGGGGGCAACCCUGAUCCAGCAAUUCUGUGUGCACGAUGAAGGUUUUCGGAUUGUAAAGUGCUUUCAGCAGGGAAGAAAAAAAUGACGGUACCUGCAGAAGAAGCGACGGCUAAAUACGUG
rnacentral:rRNA from 1 species